rnacentral:rRNA from 1 species
UGAGGGGUGCAAGCGUUAAUCGGAAUUACUGGGCGUAAAGCGAGUGUAGGCGGUUACUUAAGUCGGGAUGUGAAAUCCCCGGGCUCAACCUGGGAAUUGCAUUCGAUACUGGGUAGCUAGAGUUUGGUAGAGGUAAGUGGAAUUCCGGGUGUAGCGGUGAAAUGCGUAGAUAUCCGGAGGAACAUCGGUGGCGAAGGCGGCUUACUGGACCAAAACUGACGCUGAGGCUCGAAAGCGUGGGGAGCAAACAGGAUUAGAUACCCUGGUAGUCCACGCCCUAAACUAUGUCAACUAGACGUUGGGCUCAUUAAUGAGCUUAGUGUCGCAGCUAACGCGUUAAGUUGACCGCCUGGGGAGUACGACCGCAAGGUUG